rnacentral:rRNA from 1 species
UGAUUAGAUACCCCACUAUGCUUUGCCCUAAACAUUGAUAGUUUAAUACAAGCACUAUCCGCCUGGGAACUACGAGCAGUAGCUUAAAACCCAAAGGACUUGGCGGUGCUUUAGACCCACCUAGAGGAGCCUGUCCUAAGACCGAUAACCCCCGUUCAACCUCACCUUUUCUUGUUCCCCCCGCCUAUAUACCGCCGUCGUCAGCUUACCCUUUGAGGGGCCUUUAGUAAGCAUAAUUGGCACUGCCCAAAACGUCAGGUCGAGGUGUAGCGUAUGGAAAGGGAAGAGAUGGGCUACAUUCCCUGUUACAGCGAAUUACGGAUAAUACCACUGAAACGUGUAUCUAGAAGGAGGAUUUAGCAGUAAGCAGAAAGUAGAGCGUUCUGCUGAAACCGGCCCUGAAGCGCGCACACACCGCCCGUCAC